rnacentral:misc_RNA from 1 species
UUAACUAUUAUAUGUUACUCAGACAUCACUAAACACAGAGUUUGGGUCCCCUGGCAGGCGCUGUCAGCCGGAGCCGACGCCCGGAGGCGGCCUGCCAAAGCAACAAAGGUAAGGUAUACACGUUUAUGGGUAUUGAACCCAUUUUUACGAAAAAAACGGGGCGUUUUCUUUUUCAAUAAUGAUCCUUCCGCAGGUUCACCUACGGAAA